rnacentral:rRNA from 1 species
GGAGUUAGCCGGUGCUUCUUCUGUGAGUGAUGUCCUUCCUGCCGGCUAUUAACCCGCAGGCCUUCUUCCUCACUGAAAGUGCUUUACAACCCGAAGGCCUUCUUCACACACGCGGCAUGGCUGGAUCAGGGUUGCCCCCAUUGUCCAAUAUUCCCCACUGCUGCCUCCCGUAGGAGUCUGGGCCGUGUCUCAGUCCCAGUGUGGCUGAUCAUCCUCUCAGACCAGCUACGGAUCGUCGCCUUGGUGAGCCGUUACCUCACCAACCAGCUAAUCCGACAUAGGCUCAUCCGAUAGCGCGAGGCCCGAAGGUCCCCCGCUUUCCCCCGUAGGGCGUAUGCGGUAUUAGCCUGGGUUUCCCCCAGGUUAUCCCCCACUACCGGGCAGAUUCCUAUGCAUUACUCACCCGUCCGCCGCUAGCCACCAGGGAGCAAGCUCCCCGUGCUGCCGCUCGACUUGCAUGUGUUAGGCCUGCCGCCACGCGUCAUCUGAGCCAUGAUACAACUACUGA